AUUGCACGCUGGCGGCAGGCCUAACACAUGCAAGUCGAGCGGAGCGGCGGACGGGUGCGUAAUGCCUAGGAAUCUGCCUGGUAGUGGGGGAUAACGUCCGGAAACGGGCGCUAAUACCGCAUACUAUCAGAUGAGCCUAGGUCGGAUUAGCUAGUUGGUGGGGUAAAGGCGUACCAAGGCGACGAUCCGUAACUGGUCUGGGAGGAUGAUCAGUCACACUGGAACGUAGACAAGGUCCAGACGCCUACGGGAGGCAGCAGUGGGGAAUAUUGGACAAUGGGCGAAAGCCUGAUCCAGCCAUGCCGCGUGUGUGAAGAAGGUCUUAGGAUUGUAAAGCAAUUUAAGUUGGGAGGCGUUACCAACAGAAUAGGCACCGGCUAACUUCGUGCCAGCCGCCGCGGUAAUUC
rnacentral:rRNA from 1 species